AUUGAACGCUGGCGGCAGGCCUAGCACAUGCAAGUCGAGCGGAUGAGGAAAGCUUGCUUUUCGAUUCAGCGGCGGACGGGUGAGUAAUGCCUAGGAAUCUGCCUGUUAGUGGGGGAUAACUCGGGGAAACUCGGGCUAAUACCGCAUACGUACUACGGGAGAAAGUGGGGGAUCUUCGGACCUCACGCUAACAGAUGAGCCUAGGUCGGAUUAGCUAGUAGGUGAGGUAAUGGCUCACAUAGGCGACGAUCCGUAACUGGUCUGAGAGGAUGAUCAGUCACACUGGAACUGAGACACGGUCUAGACUCCUACAGGAGGCAGCAGUGGGGAAUAUUGGACAAUGGGCGAAAGCCUGAUCCAGCCAUGCAGCGUGUGUGAAGAAGGUCUUCGGAUUGUAAAGCACUUUAAGUUGUGAGGAAGGGUAUUCACCUAAUACGUGGGUACUUUGACGUUACCAACAGAAUAAGCACCGGCUAACUCUGUGCCAGCCGCCGCCGUAAGAC
rnacentral:rRNA from 1 species